rnacentral:lncRNA from 1 species
UGCCGCUGCCGGGCAAACGGUUGCUAAAUUAACUAUGAACCUAGCUUACCCUUGUAUUAUACUUUUAUCCUUUUGUCUUUUCUUUUAACAUUUUUUUCUAUUUUUAUGGAUUCCAUAAAUUCCACUCCUAUCUGCCAAUUUACUGCACCCAUGAGCAUAAGCCGAGACCCACCAAAAUCUUUAGAGCCUAUCCUAAUACCUAGCUAUGAGUUGCACCUGUGUUUAAUAAACAUGAUUUAUGAUCUUCCCUUCUCGGGAAAAGGCAACAAAUACCCAUACUUACACCUAUGAGAGUUUGAAUAGACUUGUACAUGCUUGCAUAUCGCUAGCAUGUAUGACAAAACCGUAAGAUGGAAGUUGUUUCCAUUAUCUUUGAAGGGAAUAGCUAAACAAUACAAUUGUACAAUCUAACCAUACAAAGUAUGCAAGGAGAUUGGGAAACAUAAUGCUCAAAAUUUUGUUUACAUUUCUUUCACAUCUCUAAAGUGGUUAGCCU